GCCAUUUUAGCUUAGUGGUAGAGCGUCUGCUUCGUUAGCCGAAGGUCAUCAGUUCAAUCCUGGCAAGUGGCU
rfam:Perkinsus marinus ATCC 50983 gcontig_1104296342940, whole genome shotgun sequence.